rnacentral:rRNA from 1 species
AACGAACGCUGGCGGCAUGCCUAACACAUGCAAGUCGAACGAGACCUUCGGGUCUAGUGGCGCACGGGUGCGUAACGCGUGGGAACCUGCCCUUAGGUUCGGAAUAACUCCCCGAAAGGGGUGCUAAUACCGGAUAAUGUCUUCGGACCAAAGAUUUAUCGCCUUUGGAUGGGCCCGCGUUGGAUUAGCUAGUUGGUAGGGUAAAAGCCGACCAAGGCGACGAUCCAUAGCUGGUCUGAGAGGAUGCUCAGCCACCCUGGGACUGAGACACGGCCCAGACUCCUACGGGAGGCAGCAGUGGGGAAUAUUGGACAAUGGGCGCAAGCCUGAUCCAGCAAUGCCGCGUGUGUGAUGAAGGCCUUAGGGUUGUAGAGCUCUUUUACCCGGGAUGAUAAUGACAGUACCGGGAGAAUAAGCUCCGGCUAACUCCGUG